CUGAAGUAUCAGGGGUGGCAGAGUGGAGGAGGAGGCAUCUGAGCUAGCUCUAGACUCUGAAACAUGACCGCUCUCGAGUAGUUCCUCCAUCCACAAAUUAUGCAGUCGAGUUUCCUCGAAUUUGGGGUCAAUACACACGGAGUGCAAUGGAUGAGCCUCGCUCUGGAGAAAUCACCUGCAUAAUCAUGGUAUUUCCCCUUCCAGGAUUCUGUGCAAUGACAAGACCAAGACUGAGCCACGUGUGGUGUUGGAUGCUCCCAUGUAAGGGCAUGGCAGGGGCCAGAAGCUGAUUCCACAACAGGCCAGACAAAUCCAAAAUG
rnacentral:lncRNA from 1 species